GGUCAAAGUAAUAAGAGUCUAUGGUGAAUGCCUAGGAGCUUUAAGGCGAAGAAGGUCGUGGUAAGCUGCGAAAAGCUUGGGGGAGAAGCAAACAUUUAUUGAUCCCAAGAUUACCGAAUGGAGUAAUCCAACUAGUAAGAUGCUAGUUAUCUAUUAUUUAAAUAAUAGAGGCGAUACCAGGGGAAGUGAACCAUCUAAGUACCCUGAGGAAAAGAAAUCAAAGAGAUUCCCUUAGUAGUGGCGAGCGAAAGGGGAGUAGCCCAAACUUUAAAUGUGUCAAGUUGCAGAGCGUUGCAUUUAUAGGGUUGUAGGACGUUUAGGCUUAGUCUGUGAUAAGCAAAAAAGUUACAA
rnacentral:rRNA from 1 species